CAAUAGCGUAUAUUAAAGUUGUUGCAGUUAAAAAGCUCGUAGUUGGAUUUCUGGGAGGGUGCCGCCGUCCGGCGUGUCCGUGUGCAGUGGCGCCCUUCCAUCCUUCUGUUAGCGUCUCUUUGCAUUCAUUUGCUGGUGGCGGGCUCAGAUAUUUUACCUUGAGAAAAUUAGAGUGUUUCAGGCAGGCUAGGCCGGAAUACAUUAGCAUGGAAUAAUGGAAUAGGACUACGGUCUCUUUGUUGGUUUGAGGGACUGCAGUAAUGAUUAAUAGGGAUAGUUGGGGGCAUUAGUAUUUAAUUGUCAGAGGUGGAAUUCUCAGAUUUGUUAAAGACUAACUUAUGCGAAAGCAUUUGCCAAGGAUGUUUUCAUUAA
rnacentral:rRNA from 1 species